rnacentral:miRNA from 1 species
UUAAAUAACCGAUCUUAAAAGUACUUUUAAGAUCGGUUAAAUUUUAACCAAUCUUAAAAGUGCUACUUUUAAAAUCGGUUAUUUAA